rnacentral:tRNA from 1 species
GUGGCUAUGUCAGAAUGAUAUGAGUUAGCUUUAAGCGCUAAUUAUGGGUUUGCUCCCUGGUCACU